rnacentral:rRNA from 1 species
AACGUAGGGGGCGAGCGUUGUCCGGAAUUAUUGGGCGUAAAGGGCGUGUAGGCGGCUCGUGAAGUCAGGAGUGAAAACCCAGGGCUCAACCCUGGGACUGCUUUUGAGACCAGCGGGCUUGAGUGCAGGAGAGGGAAGUGGAAUUCCCAGUGUAGCGGUGAAAUGCGUAGAUAUUGGGAGGAACACCAGUGGCGAAAGCGGCUUCCUGGCCUGUAACUGACGCUGAGGCGCGAAAGCGUGGGGAG